rnacentral:rRNA from 1 species
UACGUAGGUGGCAAGCGUUGUCCGGAAUUAUUGGGCGUAAAGCGCGCGCAGGCGGUCCUUUAAGUCUGAUGUGAAAGCCCUCGGCUCAACCGAGGAAGGUCAUUGGAAACUGGAGGACUUGAGUGCAGAAGAGGAAAGUGGAAUUCCAAGUGUAGCGGUGAAAUGCGUAGAGAAUUUGGAGGAACACCAGUGGCGAAGGCGACUUUCUGGUCUGUAACUGACGCUGAGGCGCGAAAGCGUGGGGAGCAAACAGG